CAGCACGAACCCUUUGCUCUCUCACUUUCUUCCAUCCCCAAAUCCCCCUGCAUCUGUUCUACCCACCUUCCACACCUUCACGGGAAGCUUCGCUUUGGUGACAACCUUGAAGACGAAUGGUUCACUGUGUUUCUUCUUUUCCACAUUUCCAAGUGUUUUCCUUCUCUUUCAAUCCGAGUUUGGGACACGGACGGUGAAUUUCUGCUUAUCGAG
rnacentral:misc_RNA from 1 species